UUUUAUGGCGGUUGCGCGUGGGAGGCCUUUGGGUCUGCCGGGUUUGGUCAUUCUCGGUCUGCGAACCCGCGCGUAGCUGCCACCCAC
rnacentral:antisense_RNA from 2 species